AGAGCGAACGCUGGCGGCAGGCCUAACACAUGCAAGUCGAGCGCCCGUAGCAAUACGGGAGCGGCAGACGGGAUAGUAACACGUGGGAACGCGCCCUUCGGUUCGGAAUAACUCAGGGAAACUUGAGCUAAUACCGAAUACGCCCUUACGGGGAAAGAUUUAUUGCCGAAGGAACGGCCCGCGUCCGAUUAGCUAGUUGGUGAGGUAAUGGCUCACCAAGGCUACGAUCGGUAGCUGGUCUGAGAGGAUGACCAGCAUCACUGGGACUGAGACACGGCCCAGACUCCUACGGGAGGCAGCAGUGGGGAAUAUUGGACAAUGGGCGCAAGCCUGAUCCAGCCAUGCCGCGUGGAUGAUGAAGGCCUUAGGGUUGUAAAGUCCUUUUAACGGGGAAGAUAAUGACGUACCCGUAGAAUAAGCCCCGGCUAACUUCGUGCCAGCAGCCGC
rnacentral:rRNA from 1 species